GAUGAACGCUGGCGGCGUGCCUAACACAUGCAAGUCGAACGGACUCAUAUUGAAACCUAGUGAUUUAUGAGUUAGUGGCGGACGGGUGAGUAACGCGUGGAAAACCUGCCGUAUACCGGGGGAUAACACUUAGAAAUAGGUGCUAAUACCGCAUAAGCGCACAGCUUCGCAUGAAGCAGUGUGAAAAACUCCGGUGGUAUACGAUGGUUCCGCGUCUGAUUAGCUAGUUGGCGGGGUAACGGCCCACCAAGGCAUCGAUGGAUAGGGGUUCUGAGAGGAAGGUCCCCCACAUUGGAACUGAGACACGGUCCAA
rnacentral:rRNA from 1 species